rnacentral:snRNA from 1 species
UGAAGUAUGGCUAACCGCUCCAUGUGCGUCCCUCCCGAAGCUGCGCGCUCGGUCGAAGAGGACGACCAUCCCCGAUAGAGGAGAGGACCGUUCUUCGGUCAAGGGUAUACGAGUAGCUGCGCUCCCCUGCUAGAACCUCCAAACAAGCUCUCAAGUAUGGCUAAUGACAACUAAGGAAAUGAAUGUUUUAGUUUAAUUUUAAUGAAUUCAAGUAUAAAAAGCCACAUGUAUCCAGUGGCUAAUU